rnacentral:tRNA from 1 species
UCAGCUUUGGUGCAGUGAUAGCACAUCAGUCUUGCAAGCUGAAGGUCCCGAGUUUGAUCCUCGGUAAAGGAG